rnacentral:snRNA from 1 species
CGGAUUACGGUGGCGGCC